CGCUGGCGGUGGGUUCCGUGCAGCAAGGCCCCUCGCGGUGCCCAAGUCGCUGCUGCUGCCGCUGCCCCUUCCUCUGAGCAUGGGCGGAGCCUUCGGCGCCAGGCUAUGGGUGGGCUCUGCCGCAGUGAGUGAUCUGUUGUUGGAGCCUCCUAUCGAGCUAUGCCGUCCACUGAGUUGUGCCGCGGCCACGGUGGUUGGAGCGGAAGCAGGAUUUUCAGGGUCGCUUCCCCGUGCCGACGGCCACAGAGGACUCUCCAACCACAGUUAAGUUGAUUCAUAGCUAGAUCAUUGGGUGCUAUUUGAUUUUGUUUUGGGGGUUUUCAGAUUGGGAUGCUAUAAGAACUUGAUUCGUAGCUAAGCUGACUAAUGGUGCUUGCUCAGGUGAUGUUAAGGUUGAGGUCGUUUGCUGCUUCAGUUUUUUGUUGUUCUGUAGAUAUGGCUCUGCAGAUGUGCUAGCUGUUGGUAGUUGUCUGAGAGCGCUGAUGAUGCAGCGAGCGCAAAGCACAAUUAUUUGCUUGUGUGUUUGUGUGUGUAGGAGGCACAGGUUUGUCAAUGUUUGUAUGCCAUCAGUUGUAGCUUGUUAUCUGCUGUCUGCUAGUAUGCUUGGUUGGUCUUAACAUCUACAGGUCCAGACAUUGGAAUACUGGUACCACUGUGACUAUGGUAGCAUUGCAUUUUAUUUUGAUCAAGCUAAAAGAAUGAAGUUAGUUUAGACCUUAGGGUCCUAAAAAUCCUGUCAGUGAGAGGGGAGCACCAGUAGAAAAAUUCAGCAGUAUGCACUGAUUACUCGUGCUGCUUGGUCUGUGCAUAUGUUUGAGUGUGUGCUCUAUUUGUGCUCAUACCGGAGACCACAUGAUAUAAGUUGUGGUGUAUUCUAUCUAGGAUAUACAACAUUCAGAUGAUGAACAAAUGGAUAUUCCUGUUAUUUCCUUGUUGCCCGGUGUCUAAAACACUGGACUGUCAGAUUGUUGUGCUUUCUUUCCCGGUAUACACAACAUGUUCUUAUUUGGUGCCCAUUGCUUAGGCCUGCAGUAAUAUUGUAUUUGUUAGUGUAGCACUGCCUAUGGGUCGCCAACUAGAAGUAGUUUGCAAUUACAAGUUCAUGUAUGGGUUGUCAUCCAUUCCUUUUUGUUCAUUUUAGAUAUUAGAUGCUACUUCUGAUUUACAGGGAGUUAUCCGAUAAAUUGGUAUGUCAAACCGCUGAUGCCUUUGUGUCUGUGUAUGUGAGUUCUCUCUCUCUCUCUCUCUUUUGUUCAGUUAUAUUUUUUGUGGUAUAUGUGAGUGUAUUUUAUUUUUUCUCUUUUUCUUUUGCCAUUGGCUUUAUUUUUCUUAGUUGUGAUUGUCUAUUUAGUUUUUUGUAGCUGUAUUUUUUAUUUUUCUUUUUUUAGAAUUUUGAUUUGUCUAUUUUAGUUGAGCUGAGUGUAUAUGUAGCUGCUAUUUGUCUGUGUUUCUCUGUGUAUGUUGUCCUUUGCUUUUAAAGUUUGACGCGGUUUUUUUUGGUGGGGGGGUUGUGGUUUGGAGUUGAAGUUAGUUGAGUUGAAUUUUUUAGCUGUUAUUUUCUGAGUUCUUCGCUAUAUAUGAUGUCUUUGCUUUUAAAGUUUUCAUCUACAUAUCUCGUAUGUAAUUCUGGUGUGUGUGAUUUUUUUUUGCUAAUUUGCUUAAACUCUUUGUGUGCAAUCAUAAUCUUCAUGUUGGUUGAGCUGGUCAGGUUGAGAGAGGUGCUCGCAAAGCUUGAGGGGGCAGGAAACAAAGCUGAAGGAGAAAGGAGAGAAUGGAGCCCAUCUCAUUCAGUUGUUGAAGGAGCAAAGGAACCUGUCUCAUGCAGUUGACAGAGGAGCGCAAAGGAAGUUGAGGCAACAGCAGAAGAAACUGAAGGAGGAGGAAGCAAAGUUGAGGCCACUGAGGAAAGAGUUUCAUUUGAAGCAUGGAUUUCCCUUGGGUGCUGACGAAGGAGAAGAGCACCAAGUCCCCAAUCCGGGCAGGUCCCCCAAUCAGAGGCUGAUCACAAGCCUGAGGAGAAGAUCGUCUAUGAUGCAGGGUUCACAACCGUGUAGUGUGUUCUGCUAGUGGAUCUUGGGUUUGGAAAACUCGUUAUGGGUUGUUUUCUGUUUAUAUUGUUUGACAGAUUUUUUUUGUAUAGUAUCUAUCAGUUUUUUCCA